ensembl:lncRNA LINC02664 long intergenic non-protein coding RNA 2664
AAAAAUGGGAAAACAAAAAGUGGUCAGGAUGGAUUCCAGAGUAGUUGGAGUUAUAGGGAAAUCUUCACUGCCAAUGUUCUCUAGAUCCUCAGCACUACGCCCUGGCCAGCCCCGAAGUCGUGGAGCCCCCCUCCUGCCCUGGGCUGGCCACCUCUCUCACUGGAUGAGUGAUGUGCUCUGGCUCAAAGGCUGAGGGGGCAGGUGGAGGAUGCCUGCCGCGGAACGUGGGUGCUCCCUCCAUCAGAAUCUUCUCACUGGGAGAGGAUCUGCGGCCGUCACCUGCAGCCCCGGUCCUGGCAGAGCUUUUGGAGAAAAUGGUCUUCGCUGAAACAUGGGCACUCGUGGGAAGUGCUUUCUGUUCCCCAGGCUCAGGUAUGGUGCCUUUCUGAUGUGUCUCCCUAAAACCACUCACUCCUACGUAACAUUUGUCAUGCAGUUCGGAAAUGCCACUCUUGAGGUCUGUCUUUCCAGCCAGUCAAUAUGCUCCUCAAAGACAGGGAUUGGGUUAUGUUCCGGCACCUGACACAACAAUUUUUUUUUUUUUUUUUUUUUGAGAUGGAGUUUCACUCUUGUUGCCUAGGCUGGAGUGCAAUGGCGCGAUCUCGGCUCACUGCAACCUCCGCCUCCCAGGUUCAAGCGAUUCUCCUGCUUCAGCCUCCCGAGUAGCUGGGAUUAAAGGAACCCACCACCAUACCCAGCUAAUUUUUUUUUUUUUUUUUUUUUUAGUAUUUUUAGUAGAGAUGGGAUUUUGCCAUGUUGGCCAGGCUAGUCUUGAACUCUUGGACUCAGGUGAUCCGCCUUGGCCUCCCAAAGUGUUGGGAUUACAGGCGUGAACCACCAUGCCUGGCCUGGCACAACAACUGACACAUAGAGGGCACUCGAUCAAUAGUAUUGAAUAAAUUAUGAGUGAAACAGUACAAAUGAAUGAACGUGGACAGGUCCAAUAAGGCUGUUGGAUCAUAGGCAGUGUAAAGAGGCAUGGUUAUUUAGUUGGUUAAGUCUCAAGCCCACCGAAGAAGAGUAUGUGUUUGUUGCAGGAGUCAAGGGAGCUUUAGGGAAGACUGGGUGGCCUUGGUAUCCCAGUGGAGUUGCUUUGAGCAAGGUUUAGUCAAAGGUAGGUUAAGGAUAUGGCAGGGCAAAAACAUCAGGAAGCCAGAGUUUGUCUUUGGAAAUUCCAGCCUUUCUUUUCGGGUGAUUUCCCCAACCCCUGCUGCAGCAGUCUCUUAUUUACUUUGACUCAAACACCGAAUUCCCUCCUACUACUCCUUCUCCUUUCUACAACACCAGCUCUCUAGAUAUUUCUGUUCCUAAUUUUUUUUUUUUUUUGUAGAGACAGGUCUCCCUAUGGUGUUGCCCAGGCUGGUCUUGAACUCCUAGCCUCAAGUGAUCCUCCUGCUUCAGCCUGCCAAAGUGCUGGAUUACAGGUGUAAGCCACCUCUGGACAUCUUAUCUGUGAAAUUUUAGGCAUUGAUCAGUGCAGAAAGAACCAUGAACUGCAGGAUGUUCUCAGAGACUCUGACAUUAUGGCCCACAAGAAGCUGCCCACUCAGCUUCUAGUCAGUUAGGUGUGGACUUCAUCAAUCACAGAAUGAAGACUCAGACAGCCUCCCAGGAGGACACAAAGUCAGCCUCAGAGAGGCAUGGAGGUGUUAAAGAGGGAAGUGCCUGCUAGAAUUUCAGUGGGUUGGAUAUGCUCUUUAACGAUGCACAAAUCAUAGGUAUACAUUUUCUGACAAUUGGAAUCUAUUAUUACUCUUGAACCAGCUGUUCCCCAGGCUGUUUCCUGUAAUGGAAGGGAUACUUUGAGUUUAUAUCUUUUCAAUCCUACAUCCUCAGAAAUCUACACUGAUACUAAUAAAGGGACUCAUUUCUCCUAUAAGAACCCCUAUGCGAGAAAAGUAUGUUUGGGUAUUGCCUAAUGCACUCAUAAUAAAUAUACACAGCCAUAAAACAGAGUAAAAGUCCUGGUAAGCCUGUUAUUUGCAGUAAUUGUAGAUUGUGAGUGGACAUUUUAAAGAGAAGCUUACAAGUUAGUUGUACUUUCUGGUAGUAAUUACCUCCCACAACAUGACUCACUUCGGCAGUUUAAAUGCAAGAGUUGGGUGUCCCAAAAUCAACAGUUUUAUAAAUAAAUCUCUGAAUCAUGAACUGAAUGCAUAAAUGUUUAAAUAUUUCUCCUUCUUAAUCUGAAAGAUAGCUUUAGAUUUAAGAUAUUGCACAUAUUUUAAAUACCUUAGGGGAAAAAU